rnacentral:rRNA from 1 species
GGUGAUCGGACCGUCGCUCGUCUCGGGCGACCGAAAGUUCACCGAUAUUGCUUCAAUAGAGGAAGCAAAAGUCGUAACAAGGUAGCUGUAGGUGAACCUGCAGCUGGAUCAUUU